rnacentral:lncRNA from 1 species
CUCCUUGGUGCCCCGUAGAACUGGCUAGCACCAAGGGUUUCUGGUCCUUUACGGAAACAGAAAGGCAAGCAAGAAUUUGUUUGUAUUGUGUUUUUAGGGAGAAGUUUUUCCAAAGAAGACCCGCGGAAGUGAGCAAAGAAGAACAAAAACAAAAACAAGGCUCACAAUGGACACAGCAUGGUCACUGUCAUUUGUACAAGUUCCAGGCACAGUAUAAAGCCACAGAUACGU